rnacentral:rRNA from 1 species
GUGGGGAAUUUUGGACAAUGGGCGCAAGCCUGAUCCAGCAAUGCCGCGUGCAGGAAGAAGGCCUUCGGGUUGUAAACUGCUUUUGUACGGAACGAAACGGUCCUGGCUAAUACCCGGGGCUAAUGACGGUACCGUAAGAAUAAGCACCGGCUAACUACGUGCCAGCAGCCGCGGUAAUACGUAGGGUGCGAGCGUUAAUCGGAAUUACUGGGCGUAAAGCGUGCGCAGGCGGUGCUGUAAGACAGGCGUGAAAUCCCCGGGCUCAACCUGGGAAUUGCGCUUGUGACUGAAGGGCUGGAGUGCGGCAGAGGGGGAUGGAAUUCCGCGUGUAGCAGUGAAAUGCGUAGAUAUGCGGAGGAACACCGAUGGCGAAGGCAAUCCCCUGGGCCUGCACUGACGCUCAUGCACGAAAGCGUGGGGAGCAAACAGGAUUAGAUACCCCAGUAGUCC